ensembl:lncRNA
CCUGGAGAUGUUGCUGAGCGUUCGUCCCACUCUUUUCUUGAGACUGACUGAUCAGAGCACAACUUGCAUUUUUCGCUGCACCUUGGUCCCUUGCGUUUUGGCUUUUUCUACAGAGAGCAGUUCAUUGUUACUAUACCUUUUAUUGUUCUUUUCUUGAAAAAAAAAAAACUAAAAAAAUUGUUUAUUGCAUUUUACAAGUUAUAUUUACACAGUGUCUCUUUCAUUGUUGCUUGACUUUUUUUUUAAUUUAUUUAUUUUUUAUUUAUUUAUUUAUUUAUUUAUUUAUAUAUAUAUUUUUUUCCCCUUCCUUCCUGAGACUACUUUGCAGGUUUUGUUCUUUCAGGCUCAACAGCUGUUACGUCGGGACAGAACUUUCAAAGAUGCCAUGGAAAGGAAAGAGAUCUCAGGCUCAAAAAAUGCAUUGGAGAAAGGUGGACCUGGAAGAUGGACAGAUUCUUGUGUGGUUCUGGAAGAGAGAAGACGGGAAUGGAUCUGCCACACUUGUGACGGCCAUCUUAAGAGAGGUCACAUUCCUUCAAUUGCAGCAGCAAACAGACCACCCAUCCCUGUGGAACUGGUUGAGUUGCAGGAAGAAUUUGGAGACCAUAGCAGUCCUGUCCAAGACCGGAUAUGAGUCUGCAAUAUACCAUCUAAAGCUAAGUUUUUAAUGAUUUUGCUUCAGUCACUGUACUACUGCACAUUAUAACCACAUUUGCAGGAAAAUGUUCAAUCUUGAUCUGAUUUUGAUAUUUACCAGCAACCAGCCAAUUGAAGUCAGAAUUUCUUAGAUCAAGUGUGCUACAAUGCUGAUGGAUGACAAGAGGACGGGACCAAAUGUUUACGGCAUUGACGACAAUACUGGAGAAGCAGAGGAAGAAGCACACUAAAGCACUGAGGAUAUCCAGCCUGUAGGCCGUGCCAGAUCCAGCGGCUAGAUGGCAGAUGCUUCAUUAGACCACUGAAUAUAUCUAAUCAUUGGAUUAUCAAUUAAUUCAUCUUAAUAUAUAUAAAUUAUUUUAUAAUCAUUAAAUAAUUGGUCUCAAUUUCUAGAUAUAUUAAUAUUUCAUAUAUUGGCUUAAAUAAGAAUUUUACUGUAAGGUGUGCCAUGCCAGAGGAGGAUGGGCUCCCCCUGUUGAGUCUGGUUCCUCUCAAGGUUUUUUACCUCCUAACUCUUUGGAGUUUUUUCCUAGCCACCUUCGCCAUUGGCUUGCUCACUGGGGGUGUUGUGCCAGGUCCUGUCUACCUCUUGGGUCCUUACUGACAAGGGUUUCCAAAAUGAGGCUUUUGUGAAUUGAUGAAAAUCUUAUAAUGAAUUAAAUCGUGAAAAUGUGAAUUAAAGUAAAAAAAAAAAAAUAGGACUGCACAAUUACUUUGAAAGGAGCAGUUAAAUAAUGUUAUGGCUUAGUGUGAGUAGAGUGUAGACUAAGCUACAAACAGAUGCAAUUUAAUUACAUAAAUAUAUUCUGAUGCAUUGUGUUUCAGAGUGAAGGGUGUGCAGCUCUUGAUCUGUUGUUAAAUGUUUCAGUUCACAGUACAAGCUGCUGCACACAAACUCAAUAUCUGAAUGUGCUAUACUUUUGAGUGACUUACAAUCAAGCUGUAAGCCCCAAGACACCAGUGA